UACGUAGGGCGCAAGCGUGUCCGGAAUUAUUGGGCGUAAAGAGCUCGUAGGCGGCUUGUCACGUCGGGUGUGAAAGCCCGGGGCUUAACCCCGGGUCUGCAUUCGAUACGGGCAGGCUAGAGUGUGGUAGGGGAGAUCGGAAUUCCUGGUGUAGCGGUGAAAUGCGCAGAUAUCAGGAGGAACACCGGUGGCGAAGGCGGAUCUCUGGGCCGAAUUGACGUGACGUGGAGGAGCGAAAGCGUGGGGAGCGAACAGG
rnacentral:rRNA from 1 species